ACUUAUCACAGUCGCUGAUUCUGUCUUUUCGCAGGUCAAGUUAAGAGAAGUAAAUUCGGAGGAUACCUGGUCAAAGAUGAUGACUUCAAAAUAGCGUAUGUCAGUUUGCCUGCAACAGAAAGCUUUGAGUUCCCCAACCUGUUCCCGGAGGACAAGAAAGACGAGGAGGACAAGCAGAUGGAACAGAUGGACGCUUUGAGGAAGGAAUGGGUGAAGAACAAGAACAGGGACAAGCAUCGGCAGGGAACACCAUCUUGGCUGGGAUUGUGAGAUGGGCCGGGCAUGCUUGCAGCUUUGCCCAGAUCUAUAGAUACUCUGUCUUUAGGUAUCUCUAGAAUGGUCAUUUGAUUACCAUAGGAAGAGCGGAAGUCAGUCCAUUGUCAGAACAUUUUCUGUGACUUCAUUCUGAAAGAUGCAGAGUAUGUCAAGUCUCCAGAUAGUUAGGCUGUUUCUUUUUUCUUAAUUUGAUUAAAAUGGAUGUAGGAUUCAGAUUGGUUGUAUAGACAUUUUUCAGUCAAAGCUUUGUCCUAAAUUGUUAGAGCAGAUUAAUUUAAAGGAUAAAAUUUAGAUAAUGAUGAUUAUAAUAUUGUGUCAAAGUGCUAUUUGAUUGAUGACUUUUUAGUUUUGAAUAAGAAAGAAAACAUUGUAUUGAAUUGUUAGCUAAUGAAUUUGGCAGUCUGUUAGCUGAAUAUCCUGGAAUACUGUGCACAUUGGAGCUUUUUGAUAGAUACUUUUGUGGUCAUUUUAACAUCAUUUUUACAAUAGCAUCACCAUGUACAUAAUUUGUUAAUAAUGUUUUUUGUAAAUAAAGAUGAAAAAGAACAA